AUUGAACGCUGGCGGAACGCUUUACACAUGCAAGUCGAACGGUAACGCGGCGAGAAGCUUGCUUCUCACCGGCGACGAGUGGCGAACGGGUGAGUAAUACAUCGGAACGUGUCCGCUCGUGGGGGACAACCAGCCGAAAGGUUGGCUAAUACCGCAUGAGUUCUACGGAAGAAAGAGGGGGACCCGCAAGGGCCUCUCGCGAGCGGAGCGGCCGAUGACUGAUUAGCCGGUUGGUGAGGUAACGGCUCACCAAAACAACGAUCAGUAGCUGGUCUGAGAGGACGACCAGCCACACUGGGACUGAGACACGGCCCAGACUCCUACGGGAGGCAGCAGUGGGGAAUUUUGGACAAUGGGCGCAAGCCUGAUCCAGCUAUUCCGCGUGUGGGAUGAAGGCCCUCGGGUUGUAAACCACUUUUGUAGAGAACGAAAAGACACCUUUUAAAAAAGGGUGUUGCUGACGGUACUCUAAGAAUAAGCACCGGCUAACUACGUGCCAGCAGCCGCGGUAAUACGUAGGGUGCGAGCGUUAAUCGGAAUUACUGGGCGUAAAGGGUGCGCAGGCGGUUGAGUAAGACAGAUGUGAAAUCCCCGAGCUUAACUCGGGAAUGGCAUAUGUGACUGCUCGACUAGAGUGUGUCAGAGGGAGGUGGAAUUCCACGUGUAGCAGUGAAAUGCGUAGAUAUGUGGAAGAACACCGAUGGCGAAGGCAGCCU
rnacentral:rRNA from 1 species